CGGACAUUUUGCACAAACCAAAUAGCGGCUUUUCUCCUUACGGGGGCCGCUAAAAGUUUACUGUAAUUUUGAAUUUAUUUUUUAGAUCGCGCAAUUAUAUCGCUGACUGCAAGUUUUGAACAAAUGAAACGUCAUUUUGGUCUUUUUUUUUUAUAUUUCUGCACAUCAAGAAAAUUGUGGAAUUCAACCAAACGAUUUGAUGAAAUGUGUGGAUUUGAACAUUGCGCUUACUGGUGCAUCUGGUUCAAUAAAUAAAUCGAGCCGAAUGAUUUAUGCAAUGAAUGGCAAAUAGUUUUCAAUCAUAUUCCAGAUGUUUCGUCAUCUCUAGAUGUCUAGAUUCUUUACGUUCUAUUGAUGAUCAUGGUUUGAAUAGCGUUGUUUCAAGUGUUCCUAUAGCCCUUCGUAUUGACUAUUCCAAUUACUGUUACAUCGGGGGAAAGAAGUUAUUCCAAGUUGAAAUUAAUCCAAAAACUAUUUGAGAAUGACUAUGAUGCAAGAACGCCUGGUAAUAAUAUCAAUCAAACGAGAUAUCGCCCUGGCUCUGGACUAUUCACAAUGUAUUCGAGACUUUGCUGCCAUCAAAGCUAAUCUUUGGUGAAGGCUUAUGAUAUCUGCAGAGGCGCGGUGGCUGAGAGGCUACCAAAGCUACUUCGCCUAGAGCCAGCUCCAAUUACCUAAGGCCCUAAGCUAUUUGAGAUAUGGGACUGCUUGUGGUCAAGAAAAGACUUUCCUUUUUCUUCAAAUCAAUAUUUUGGAUGGGGUCAGACAAGUGAGUUCUCUAAGCUCUAACUUAUGUUGUCUAUGGGUAAAGAGAGAUUACAUUUCUGCAGCUCAAAAUGUGAGAAAUUGUAUGGUCAAAACUAUUUUCAUUUUAACUGCCUACUGCCAACUUCAUAGUGUGUCUAUUUACAUCAGAAAUACUCUGAGCACCGUUGCAAAAAUGAGCAACAUUAAGAUUUCUACUAGUCAAGAAAACACCAUGAGAGGUAAAGGAAAAAUGUAAGAUGAGCAUAAAAACUAUGUAUCAUACGAGAGCAGGAAAUUUAGACAAUUAAAAACUGGUUUAAUUAUUUCCAAUCAUCAAAUGACCCUUUAUAAGGACGUGAAAGAAUCCAGCCCCAAAUGAAUCAGAGAGCGUCAACUAUUUUAGGAUACAAUGGUGCAGUUAAACAGAGAAAGAGAAUGCAUAGCAACGUAAACAGAGAAAGAGAAUACAUAGGAACCUAAACAGAAAAGAGAAUGCAUAGUAACCUAAACAGAGAAAGAGAAUGCAUAGCAACCUAAACAGAGAAAGAGAAUGCAGAGUAACCUAAACAGAGAAAUAGAAUGCAUAGCAACCUAAACAGAAAAGAGAAUGCAUAGUAACCUAAACAGAGAAAGAGAAUGCAUAGCAACCUAAACAGAAAAUAGAAUGCAUAGCAACCUAAACAGAGAAAGAGAAUGCAUAGUAACCUAAACAGAGAAAGAGAAUGCAUAGCAACCUAAACAGAAAAGAGAAUGCAUAGUAACCUAAACAGAGAAAGAGAAUGCAUAGCAACCUAAACAGAGAAAGAGAAUGCAUAGCAACCUAAACAGAAAAGAGAAUGCAUAGCAAACUAAACAGAGAAAGAGAAUGCAUAGCAACCUAAACAGAAAAGAGAAUGCAUAGCAACCUAAACAGAAAAGAGAAUGCAUAGCAACCUAAACAGAGAAAGAGAAUGCAUAGCAACCUAAACAGAAAAGAGAAUGCAUAGCAACCUAAACAGAGAAAGAGAAUGCAUAGCAACCUAAACAGAGAAAGAGAACAAGAUAAAUUUCAAGAUACUGAUGACAAACUACAAAACGGAAGACCAAAACAUGAGCUAACUUCAGAACAAACUACAAAACGGAAGACCAAAACAUGAGCUAACUUCAGAACCAACUACAAAACGGAAGACCAAAACAUGAGCUAACUUCAGAACAAACUACUCAUCAUUCCCUGUGACCAAGGAAUCAAUAGAAGAAACCGACAAGACUCGAUUGAGUAUGUUUCCUACAGAAUUUCUGCAUGCUGGUUUUGAAUGUCACAUAAUAUGUUUCAAAUUCACGUGUAAUGUGUUUUGUUGCUUAUGAUUGUUUUAUUUUUUUUUUCUUAAGAAAAAAGGAUGUUGAUAUGUUUCAGUCGUUCAAUAUAAUAAACUAACGAUCUCCGACUUGAUCAGGGCCGGAUUUACCUAUAGGCAACAUAAUAGUGAGAUAUUCAAUUAUUGUUUUAUUAUAAAUUUAUAUUAUAUUUAGAAAGUGCAUUUCUGAAAUAUUUGCAAUUGUUCUUACUGUUACUUUUUAGUGACAUUUUUAUACAACGUUCACAAUUUGAAAUGUUUACAAUGGAAUACGCCUAAUUGGUGGUUUUCAGGUAAAGUGUUAUUUCUGACUGUUAUUUCAUAUUUCCUUUGUUUUAGCCUGUGUCUUAGGUUUCGUUUUCCUCAAUGUAUAUGUGCAGGACAUCAACUGAAGAUUACUGAAGUAACGUAUGAAAUAUUUUAACUAAAAAAAAUUAUAAUGUCUUUGCAGUUUUAUAAGUUCAAAUAUUGUUUUAUAUUAUUGUCUUUUAAAAUUGCAGACCAAUCAUUGAAUAUAAAUAAAAAUUGUAUAGAAUAGAUUUAGGUCUAAUAAUUCAAUUGUAAUUGUAUUAACAUAAUAAACAUACUUACCAUUACGUGAAAAUCUAUUUAAAAUCAUUAUCCAAUAAGCCUGUAAUGAAAAAACAAGAAAAAACGACGAUUGAUUGAUUUUAAAUAUCUGCUGAAUAGUUUUGUAACUAGCACGAGCUGUUGGCAAAUGUAAUAUUAUUAGAGUGUAGGCCUAGACUUUUUGAACGCCAUCUUGACAUUUUCUGCCCAUUAUUAGACCAUCUCGCAGAAUCCCGUAUUUGUUUUCACUCAUCAUAUUUUUAUUUAAAUGUUCAAAAUCCACACAAUUGUAAAAUGUCUCGGAUUUUAUAACCCGUUAAUGUUGCCUUAAAUAAAUGUGAAACCUUCUUGCCCAAACUUUCUUGUCAUUAUCAAUUUGAUUCAAAGUCCGUCUCUUCUUAAUUAAGUUUUAAUUCCUACAGUUUUCAUAUGGAUGUGUGGCUUAGUGGCUUACACGACAGACUCUCAAUCAAUUUUAGUCAAGGUGGCUCGAGUACGAAUCCCAAUUAGGUCUUCAAAGCAGCUAGACAGGCCUACAUAUUUCAUCCUGAGAACAAUUCAAGAUGACCUGUCUCUAGAAGAGGAGAUAAACAAACGCAUAGGGAAGGCUGCCUUGACCUUCGCUAGACUCAGGUCAAGAGUUUGGGAAAACCAGAAGUUCACUACAUUGACCAAAAUGGAAGUCUACAAGGCAUGCGUUAUGAGUACACUACUAUAUGGUAGGGAAUCAUGGAACACCUAGGCAAAGCAAGAGAGAAAACUUACUCAUUCCAUUUGCGAUGUCUCCGUAUGAUCUUGAAAAUCACUUGGAAAGAAAAAGUGUGCAAUACGGAGAUCCUUACAUGAACAUGUAUUCCCAGCAUCUUUACAACCCUUAGACAACGCAGCUUGCGCUGGCUUGGACAUGUUUUUUCAUUAAAUCAAAAUUUAAUUUGUGGCAAAGGUUAUAGAAAUUUAAAAGAGUUAUCCAUUUUACUGUUUAGUAGUCCCUACAUAUGUGUUUUUAACAUUUUAGCUUUUAACGAAUGGGUAGAAAAAGGUUCUGGAAGUUUGUGUCAAAAUGUUUAACAAUUAUCUUAUCAGUUUUGUUGCUAUUUGUAUAAUAACCAAAAUUAUUAAAAUUGUCAUUCAACAGGUUAAACAAGGGCUUCACUUUGUAUGAUCUGUUUCCACAAAUAUGAAAGUUUCUCUUCAAUGUCUGAAAACUGAUUCAAUACAUGAUGGCCUCACUAAGCAUCUUCUGCAUCUCUCUGCAAUAAUCUUUUUUUUUCUGUGGAACAAAGCCCCUCCUACCAUCAAGUUAUUAGUAUCAAGUUAGAACUGAAAUCUCAAGAAUCAUAACAUCUAAAUCAUUCAGCUAAUUUAUCAAAAUUGUAACCAAUUCUGAAUGUAGAGGAAUAGUAAAUAGUUUUUUUGGUCAUCACUGGUAAAAAAAAAUAAAUAAAAAUAAACUAUUGUACUGUAGCGUGUUGUCCUAAAGAUUUUGUUAGUUAACUUUCUGCAAUCUCAAAACUUUUUGCCAAUGAUCUUGUCAUUGGCUAUUGUUACCUUUAUUUUUGUCAGUUCAACAGAAUUUAAUGGUAAUGAACUGAGGGUAGCUUUAAAAAAUAUUCAUUAUCUGAUUCCUCAAGAGAAUCUCUCACUUUCUACAAAGUAAUAAUUUUCUCUUCGUUCUUUAACUAAGAAAAUAAGUUGCAAGAUGUGUUCAAGUAUAAAUCAGAAUUUGUUGUACAUUGUCUCAUUGUUUUAUUUUAUUUUGAAGGAUUAUUUGUAAUAAUUAUGAUAAAUAAGUCUUAUAGUUGUUAUUACUAUGAUAACAUAAUGUGCUUUUUCUUAGAUGUUUUGCAUUGAAUGUGAUUUAAUUAUAAUAAUAAUAAUCCUUAUUAUACAUUAGGAAAUUUGUCUUACAAUUGUACAUUACACAUAAUAAUAUAUUAUAAGAGAAAAAAAAUAUAAUAGCACACAAAAUAUACUCUUGAACAGUAUUUGUAAAAUUUACAUCAGAAUUUUGGAUUUUAUUCAAUGAUUUAAAUACCAAGGGAACAAAAGAGUGCUUGUGUCUGUUUGUUGUACAGUAUAUCUAAUACAUUUCUUUUUAUGCAUCAGCAACUCUAAAUUGCCGACACAACCAUUUGAGUUCCUACUCCUGUUGGCUGCUGCCAUCAAUCAAUCUUGGAUGUUUGGAUAAUCUGUUGAAGUACACUUGUCUUUUCUAUGGAUGUCAUAAAUUUGUUAAAUCUCUAUUUAUCUCCAAUUAGUUAUGUAGUUACAUAUUCUUGUAGAUAUAAGUAAAUAUAUAAUAAUAAUAAUAAAUAUGAAGCUAAUAAUUAACUGCUAUUUCAUAAACUUAUGCUGUAUGAUUUCUAUAAUUUUUUUAAUUGCCUAGUCAGGGAUAAAAAAAACAAAGAGGUGAAGAAAGAAAGAGAUAUCUGUGCUGAUAUGUAAAUAAUGCACAACUAAUGUAUUGUGCUCAUGGUAUUGAACAGAAGAUCAGUUUACAUCAAAAUGAAAUAAAGAUUACUGUCUGAACUAUA